GGUAGCGUGGCCGAGGGGUCUUAAGGCGCUGGAUUUAGGCUCUAGUCUCUUUGGGGACGUGGGUUCAAAUCCCACCGCUGCCA
rnacentral:tRNA from 1 species